UGGGGAAUAUUGGACAAUGGGCGCAAGCCUGAUCCAGCCAUGCCGCGUGAACGAUGAAGGCCUUAGGGUUGUAAAGUUCUUUUGUCAGGGAAGAUAAUGACGGUACCUGAAGAAUAAGCACCGGCUAACUUCGUGCCAGCAGCCGCGGUAAUACGAAGGGGGCUAGCGUUGUUCGGAUUUACUGGGCGUAAAGCGCGUGUAGGCGGGCUUGUAAGUUGGGGGUGAAAUCCCGAGGCUCAACCUCGGAACUGCCUCCAAAACUACAAAUCUGGACCUAAGUAGAGGCAAGUGGAAUUGCGAGUGUAGAGGUGAAAUUCGUAGAUAUUCGCAGGAACACCAGUGGCGAAGGCGACUUGCUGGACUUAUGGUGACGCUGAGACGCGAAAGCGUGGGGAGCAAACAGGAUUAGAUACCCCCGUAGUCCCUGAGCGGGCUGGCAAGGCGCAU
rnacentral:rRNA from 1 species